rnacentral:rRNA from 1 species
UCUAUGGAGAGUUUGAUCCUGGCUCAGGACGAACGCUGGCGGCGUGCCUAAUACAUGCAAGUCGAGCGGACCGAAUAGAAGCUUGCUUCUAUUUGGUUAGCGGCGGACGGGUGAGUAACACGUGGGCAACCUGCCCUGUAGACGGGGAUAACACCGAGAAAUCGGUGCUAAUACUGGAUAACACGGAAUGUCGCAUGACGUUUCGUUGAAAGGCGGUGCAAGCUGUCGCUACAGGAUGGGCCCGCGGCGCAUUAGCUAGUUGGUGAGGUAACGGCUCACCAAGGCGACGAUGCGUAGCCGACCUGAGAGGGUGAUCGGCCACACUGGGACUGAGACACGGCCCA